rnacentral:lncRNA from 1 species
CUUGCAUUGCAGGGAUACUUGAAGCUAGGGCAAUCCAAGUAAGAUAGCUUCAUCCUCAGGCAACAGGUUUAUGUUAUCUUAUCAUGGAGUCAUUUUUAAGUUUGUGCCCAACGCCUUCAUCCUUAGAAUGGCUGCCCAGAUGGCAAGCCACCGUACUCAGGCGACUGCCGCGCUAGGUAUUCUCGACCACUGCUGCAGUUUUUCAUUGCCGUGCUUAUUCCAUUUGCACCAACCUUGCUAUUUAGUAAAAUGAACGUCUCUGUUUCUUCUACUACAAUGACAUGAUAAGAUUACCUUAUCCCUUUCAGCAGGGUGCUCCAACUUUUGAUGCUGGCGAAGCUUUUGGAAUGAUGGCUACAUAAUUUGUUAGUCUCCGUUGGAAGCUUAAUUAAACUGAGGUAAAUAUGCCAGAUUCUUUUGUCAAAUAAUAACAUGACUGUCUAUUUUGUUCUUAGGACCAAUAUCUGUGCCUAUCAAUGAAAUUUUGAGAGUAGUUUUUGGUGCCUCUAUGUAACCCUGAUAGCAGCUUCUCUGAAGGUUCAGAUGUGUGGCAAAGGAUUUCAAUUUUCCUGUUUACACAAAGGAAACUUGAGGAAGGUUCAGAUUUUUCAUGCUCGGUGCUGUGCUCUCAAGGUUACAUAGACAAAAAUGCCUCCUAUUUACACAACGGCAACCCGACGAAGGUUCAGAUUUCUCAUGACUGGUUCAAUGGGUAUUUCAUGCCUGUGCCAUCUUAAUUAUUAGGAAAAUGUAGUUUGUUUUAUAGCUGAUGAUGCUCGAUGCUUUUUACCUCAGUUUAGUAAAUGCUCAGUUUUAGCUCAUAAACUACAUGGCAAAUAGGAUGACGGGGCGGGGCGGGAGGCGGGGAAAGCCGUCCAUGGCGAUCCUGGUGGCGUUUCUAAUGGCGCCAUUGGCACUGCCGCUCCUCAUGGUGCCCGACACGCUCUCUAUGCCAGGCUCCAACCGCGUGUAUCGCGGCGCCGCCCUGUCGCUCCCACGCCCGUGCUUCAGCAGAUCCGUG